GUUUUUCCUGGUGUUCUAAAAGGUCCACUUGAAAAGUAGUCUGUAUAUAUAUAAAGUCCUGGGAAUGUAAGAGAGAGAUCAGCAUUUCCACCAAACAGGAACAAAGAAGUCUGAGAUCUGGUUCUGGAGAGCUGGGAGGAGGAGCAAAGCUCCUGAUUUCUAUCAAGUUGGGAAUGUUGGCUCCAUUGUCUCCUGCAGUUUACCUCAAGCAGCAAGGAGACUGCAAGGUGCUGAAAUGACUGGCGUGCUCCACUAUGCCUGCUUCAUGUAAUGCUGAAGAUAGGAUACAGGUUUUCACUGAUGCUGUGCAAAUACUCUCUCUGCUCAAUUAUAUUUGGAGAACUUAAUGGGAAGUCAGCAGAUUUUCGGUCAGAGAAGGUAUCACCAGAACUCAGCCUGGCUCUCACCAUGAUCUCAGAUUUUCUGAACAACGGGAGACAUCUUUCAGUUGUUCUUCAGAAACACUGCCCAUGAAACUUUGCCUUAGUAUCCUAAACUAAGCCACUGGGAAUUUCCAAGACAUGUUACAUUUUUGAAUGUUUUAUAAGUGAAACUUAGACAUUUUACAUUUUAGUUGCUUUGUGUUGCUGAUUCUGGGAAUCUCAAUGUACAAUGCCACUCAAUCCUUUAGUUAUCAAUUGAGUAAAGAAAGUAAGCAUUAUUAUAUAAAACUAUGUUCCUUAUUACUUAAGGAAUGUAAUCACUUAAAUGUUUGCCAAAGUUUUCUUUAAAAUAAAUGUAAGCUAGGAAAUCACAGCAGUUUCUACACACUAUAGUAUUGAGAAUCUCCCUUUUUUUUGUUCAGAUUUAUUUCUAUUUUCUUUAUUGAAAAAAUUUCCACCUCCUCCCCUUCUCCCAUUUCCCUUCCCCU